GCAUCGAUAGCUCAGUGGCAGAGCGGUGGGGCGUUUACCCAUGCGGCCCGGGUUCGAUUCCCGGUCGAUGUU